CUCUGUGGGACGCUCGAGAGAGUUGGAUCUGGCUCUGUGGGACGCUCCUCGCGCAGACGGCCAGGGAAGGACCAGCUCGGGCUUGGGCUGCUGGCUGUACCUCAGGUGGAGCGGAUGGCAUUACGUGCCCCGGGCA